CCCCUAGAUGUUCUGGGCCGCACGCGCGCUACACUGAACAGUUCAACAAGUCUUAACCUUGGCCGAUAGGUCUGGGUAAUCUUUGAACGCUGUUCGUGAUUGGGAUAGACCUUUGCAAUUAUGGGUCUUCAACGAGGAAUUCCUAGUAAACGCAAGUCAUCAGCUUGCAUUGAUUACGUCCCUGCCCUUUGUACACACCGCCCGUCGCACCUACCGAUUGAAUGGUCCGGUGAAAUCUCGGGACGGCGGCUCGGUCGCUUGCGUCCGACUGCUGAAACUUGAUUAAACCAUAUCAUUUAGAGGAAGGAGAANUCGUANCA
rnacentral:rRNA from 1 species